rnacentral:rRNA from 1 species
AGUGAACGCUGGCGGCGUACCUAAUACAUGCAAGUCGAACGCGAAAGUCCUUCGGGAUGAGUAAAGUGGCGCACGGGUGAGUAAUACAUGGGAACAUGCCCUUGGAUGGGGAAUAACGUUUGGAAACGAACGCUAAUACCGCAUAAUCUCGCGAGAGUAAAGGUGGCGCCGCAAGGGCUACCGUCCAAGGAUUGGCCCAUGUCCCAUUAGCUAGUUGGCGGGGUAAUGGCCCACCAAGGCAACGAUGGGUAACUGGUCUGAGAGGAUGAUCAGUCACACUGGAACUGAGACACGGUCCAGACUCCUACGGGAGGCAGCAGUAGGGAAUAUUGCACAAUGGGGGAAACCCUGAUGCAGCAACGCCGCGUGAGUGAAGAAGGCCCUUGGGUUGUAAAGCUCUUUAGCGUGGGAAGAAGGUAGAUAUGGUGAACAAUCAUGUUUGCUGACGGUACCACGAGAAUAAGCACCGGCUAAUUUCGUGCCAGCCGCCGCCGUAA